GACGAACGCUGGCGGCGUGCUUAACACAUGCAAGUCGAACGCGCCUGUCCUCUGGGUUUCUGGGGGGUGGGUGAGUGGCGAACGGGUGAGUAACACGUGAGUAACCUGCCCCCUUCUUCGGGAUAACGGUCUGAAAGGGCUGCUAAUACCGGGUAUUCACUGGUCUCCGCAUGGGGUCUGGUGGAAAGGUUUUUUUCUGGUGGGGGAUGGGCUCGCGGCCUAUCAGCUUGUUGGUGGGGUGAUGGCCCACCAAGGCUUUGACGGGUAGCCGGCCUGAGAAGGUGACCGGUCACAAUGGGACUGAGAUACGGCCCAGACUCCUACGGGAGGCAGCAGUGGGGAAUAUUGCACAAUGGGCGCAAGCCUGAUGCAGCGACGCCGCGUGAGGGAUGGAGGCCUUCGGGUUGUGAACCUCUUUCGCCCGUGGUCAAGCCGCGACGUGGGUCGUGGUGAGGGUAGUGGGUAAAGAAGCGCCGGCUAACUACGUG
rnacentral:rRNA from 1 species